AUUUUUUCUGACAGGAGGUUUUGAUGGUGGCGGAAAGGGAGGCCUGGAUAGCACGUGAUUACAAGUGGGUGCCUGAGUGGCAGGGGUACCAAACAAUGGGGAGACAGGGAGGAUCCGGGAGCGUUCACAUGGCUGACUCCCUGGGAGGUUCUGCUCCAGUCCCUUUCUCUACUCCAGCCAGAAGUCAGUUCAUCCAGUAAAACUCCUCCACUCAUUACAGAAAAUCUAAGUAGGCAAGUAAUAGUGAGGCUGACCCACAUGUUCUAGGCAACUAACUCUAGGGAUUCUUUACCUCCAUUUAACCAUCCAUCCAUUUAACUGUUGCACCAUAUCCAGCCAUCACAGCAUUACCGUCAAUCACCCAUCAACCGUCAAUCGUUCCAUCCAACUGCUCAUUCAAACAUCCAUCCAUUCAUUUAGCCACUCACUCACCCUCUUAACCAUCUAUACAUCUUUCCAUAAAGCCAUGCAACCGUUCACUCAUCCAAACAGCUAUCUAUCCAUUCAUCUCACCAUACAACCAUUCAGUCUUCAAUUGUCAUCCAUCCACUCAUAAUCUACAUAGCUAUCCAUCUAGUCAUCCCAACAAUUAUCCAUCCAUUAUUCAUCCGUUCUGCAACCACCUCGCUCAACAUCCACCUUCAAAUCACUCAGGCACCCAGUCACCUAACCAACCGUCCAUCCACCCACCCGUUUAGACAUCUAUUCACCCAGUUACCUAACUAUGAUUCCAAUUAUACUGUCAUCCUUCCUUCCUCGUCAUCUAUAAUGGGAUUCCAAUUUAUGUCAGUAUCCACUCUGUAGAUUGAUUCCAAGGAUGACACUCGUGCUUGAUUUGGGGGAAUACAGAGGUGAAACCAACAGCACCUGCCCCCAGGGAGCUCAGAGCCUAGCCAGGGAGUCUGUCUCAUCCUUGGUGAUGACUUUCCGUCUAUCAGAUUCUAGCUCUGAGACUCCUGUCAUCAUCCAUCAAGUCAUCUCCCAUCUCCACUGACAUGGAUGCCAGCCAGUUGGUGACCCUGGAUUUCACCAACAUGAAUAGAGGGAGAAGCCUGUAGUUAUGCUUAGCAUCCAAUCAAAUGGAUCGAGGCCCUGCUUGGAACUCUGUGGGCACCAACAGAACUCAAGAUGUCCUUGGAACUUCUCCAGAUGUCCCUCCCUGUUCCCUACAUUGGAUCCUUGGCUCAUCCGCUGGAAAAUAAAGUCCUACCAAUGGCAUGGAGAUGAGGAGACUGAGGCACAGAGAGGUCUGUCUGACUCCAGAGAGAAAACUUGACCACCUGUUUAUCACAGGAAAAUGUGACCGUUGACUAAAGUUGUUGCCUGUCCAACAGCCAUCCUCCCUUCUUCCUACUUCCAGAACCCUGAAUUUGGCAGCACCGUGCCCGAGAGGAACUUGGUGGCUGAGAAUAAAGGGUACAUCUCCCAGCUACCUUUGUGGCAAGGUGAGAUCAUGUGACUCUAAUCUGGCCAAUGGGGUCUGAGAAGCAGUGAUGUUGACCUAUAACAGCUGUGCUCUUAAAGGGACGAGGAGUCCUUCCCCUUUUUCUUCCUGGUGGCUGGAGUGCAGACGUGGGCGUGGUGAGGAGCCGUCUUGGACUUUGUGGAAAGAGCAGUACUGGGACUGGCAGAGCAACAAGACAGAAGGGGCCCGGGUCCCUGGUGCUGUCCCAGCUGUCUGGGCAGCUAAUGAGAGACGAAGAAAGCGCUCCACUGUUUAAGCUGCUGUCUGGCAUCUCUGGCAAUGCAAACUCCACAGAACCUGGGCAGCCCUGGCCCCGCUGGAGCCCACCCCAUCCACAUCCUCAGCCGGGUGCUUCUCCUGUGGGCUUUGAGCAAACGAGAUUUCGCAUUUCAUUUCAGGAGAGUGAACGGUCAUUACGCCGCCCUAAGAAACGUCCUUUGGUGAGAAGGUGGGUGAACGGCAGCCACUGCUCCGGAUGUCCCUGUCAUUCUCC